GAUGAACGCUGGCGGCGUGCCUAAUACAUGCAAGUCGAGCGAACAGACGAGGAGCUUGCUCCUCUGACGUUAGCGGCGGACGGGUGAGUAACACGUGGAUAACCUACCUAUAAGACUGGGAUAACUUCGGGAAACCGGAGCUAAUACCGGAUAAUAUAUUGAACCGCAUGGUUCAAUAGUGAAAGACGGUUUUGCUGUCACUUAUAGAUGGAUCCGCGCCGCAUUAGCUAGUUGGUAAGGUAACGGCUUACCAAGGCAACGAUGCGUAGCCGACGUGAGAGGGUGAUCGGCCACACUGGAACUGAGACACGGUCCAGACUCCUACGGGAGGCAGCAGUAGGGAAUCUUCCGCAAUGGGCGAAAGCUUGACGGAGCAACGCCGCGUGAGUGAUGAAGGUCUUCGGAUCGUAAAACUCUGUUAUUAGGGAAGAACAAAUGUGUAAGUAACUAUGCACGUCUUGACGGUACCGAAUCAGAAAGCCACGGCUAACUACGUG
rnacentral:rRNA from 1 species